rnacentral:rRNA from 1 species
UACAGAGGGUGCGAGCGUUAAUCGGAAUUACUGGGCGUAAAGCGCGCGUAGGCGGUUUUGUAAGUCGGGUGUGAAAUCCCCAGGCUCAACCUGGGAACUGCAUUCGAGACUGCAUGACUGGAGUAUGGGAGAGGACAGCGGAAUUUCCGGUGUAGCGGUGAAAUGCGUAGAUAUCGGAAGGAACAUCAGUGGCGAAGGCGGCUGUCUGGCCCAAUACUGGCGCUCAUGUGCGAAAGCGUGGGGAGCAAACAGG